GAAUUAAGACGGUCCAAGGCCGAUGACAUCUCGACGGCACUCAAGGUUGCUGCCACAUUGGAAGAUUACACUGGUGCUGACAAAGGGUUUUAUGUCAAGCACCACGGUGAAUCAUCCGAGUCCAAGAUUCAAAGGACUUGGUCGGUUAAAGGUGGGGAGUCAGGGACGGAACCCACAAGCCAACAACCCAUGGUGACAAAGGGAAACAUGUCAAAGACAACAAGAAGGAGGCCAAACCAAGGGAGGGUUGCUUCCUAUGUCAAGGACCACAC
rnacentral:lncRNA from 1 species